rnacentral:rRNA from 1 species
AUUGAACGCUGGCGGCAUGCCUUACACAUGCAAGUCGAACGGCAGCGCGGACUUCGGUCUGGCGGCGAGUGGCGAACGGGUGAGUAAUACAUCGGAACGUACCCUGUUGUGGGGGAUAACUAGUCGAAAGAUUAGCUAAUACCGCAUACGACCUGAGGGUGAAAGUGGGGGACCGCAAGGCCUCACGCAGCAGGAGCGGCCGAUGUCUGAUUAGCUAGUUGGUGGGGUAAAGGCCCACCAAGGCGAGGAUCAGUAGCUGGUCUGAGAGGACGAUGGGCCACACGGGGACUGAGACAGGGCCCAGACUCCUACGGGAGGCAGCAGUGGGGAAUUUUGGACAAUGGGGGCAACCCUGAUCCAGCAAUGCCGCGUGUGUGAAGAAGGCCUUUGGGUUGUAAAGCACUUUUGUCCGGAAAGAAAUCGCGCUGGUUAAUACCUGGCGUGGAUGACGGUGCCGGAAGAAUAAGCACCGGCUAACUACGUGCCAGCAGCCGCCGUAA